GUAAAGUUUUCUGUCACAUUUGGCAUACAUUUAUUUCUUUGGAUUGUAGUCGAAAAAUGAUUAAUUUCAGAGAUGUGCAGUAAUACUAAACGCAAUUGUUUUAUCGUCAUAUUUUUUAUAUAUGCAGUUGGCGCGCUGGAAUUCGGAAUAAGAACCUUCGAGUUGAUAUACUUUAUUAAAGUUAGAAGAGUAUUUGGCUGCUAUAUAUUCUGCAUUUUGAUAAGUUGGGCAGUGGUUUUCAUAUUCAACACAAUGCUGCUGCAAAACCCAACACUGGUAAAAGCCUUCUUGUGGACCGCCCUGGUGUUUGGGGUUUUUUUGUGCAUAAUGCAGGUAGUCACCUAUGUGAAUUUUCCACGAGGCCUGCUUGGAGAAAAUGCAUUUGCUCUAGACUUCAUAAUGUUUGUACUUAUUAUAGUCUACAUUGCAAUUUGGGUCCCUUUUAUAAUUUUUCCCACAAUUCAUUUGGCAGACCUUAAUGAAGAGUAGUGCAUUUUUAUCAGAAGUCCAAAAUAUACAUUUUUGCAUAAGAAA